rnacentral:rRNA from 1 species
AUGCGUUGUUGGGUAGGGGAGCGUUCUGUAAGCCUGUGAAGGUGGCCUGUGAGGGUUGCUGGAGGUAUCAGAAGUGCGAAUGCUGACAUAAGUAACGAUAAAGCGGGUGAAAAGCCCGCUCGCCGGAAGACCAAGGGUUCCUGUCCAACGUUAAUCGGGGCAGGGUGAGUCGACCCCUAAGGCGAGGCCGAAAGGCGUAGUCGAUGGGAAACGGGUUAAUAUUCCCGUACUUGGUGUUACUGCGAAGGGGGGACGGAGAAGGCUAUGUUGGCCGGGCGACGGUUGUCCCGGUUUAAGCGUGUAGGUGUGUGUUCCAGGUAAAUCCGGUUCACUUUAACACUGAGGCGUGACGACGAGGCACUACGGUGCUGAAGCAACAAAUGCCCUGCUUCCAGGAAAAGCCUCUAAGCAUCAGGUAACAUCAAAUCGUACCCCAAACCGACACAGGUGGUCAGGUAGAGAAUACCAAGGCGCUUGAGAGAACUCGGGUGAAGGAACUAGGCAAAAUGGUGCCGUAACUUCGGGAGAAGGCACGCUGACACGUAGGUGAAGUGAUUUACUCACGGAGCUGAAGUCAGUCGAAGAUACCAGCUGGCUGCAACUGUUUAUUAAAAACACAGCACUGUGCAAACACGAAAGUGGACGUAUACGGUGUGACGCCUGCCCGGUGCCGGAAGGUUAAUUGAUGGGGUCAGCGCAAGCGAAGCUCCUGAUCGAAGCCCCGGUAAACGGCGGCCGUAACUAUAACGGUCCUAAGGUAGCGAAAUUCCUUGUCGGGUAAGUUCCGACCUGCACGAAUGGCGUAAUGAUGGCCAGGCUGUCUCCACCCGAGACUCAGUGAAAUUGAACUCGCUGUGAAGAUGCAGUGUACCCGCGGCAAGACGGAAAGACCCCGUGAACCUUUACUAUAGCUUGACACUGAACAUUGAGCCUUGAUGUGUAGGAUAGGUGGGAGGCUUUGAAGUGUGGACGCCAGUCUGCAUGGAGCCGACCUUGAAAUACCACCCUUUAAUGUUUGAUGUUCUAACGUGGACCCGUUACCCGGGUUGCGGACAGUGUCUGGUGGGUAGUUUGACUGGGGCGGUCUCCUCCUAAAGAGUAACGGAGGAGCACGAAGGUUGGCUAAUCCUGGUCGGACAUCAGGAGGUUAGUGCAAUGGCAUAAGCCAGCUUGACUGCGAGCGUGACGGCGCGAGCAGGUGCGAAAGCAGGUCAUAGUGAUCCGGUGGUUCUGAAUGGAAGGGCCAUCGCUCAACGGAUAAAAGGUACUCCGGGGAUAACAGGCUGAUACCGCCCAAGAGUUCAUAUCGACGGCGGUGUUUGGCACCUCGAUGUCGGCUCAUCACAUCCUGGGGCUGAAGUAGGUCCCAAGGGUAUGGCUGUUCGCCAUUUAAAGUGGUACGCGAGCUGGGUUUAGAACGUCGUGAGACAGUUCGGUCCCUAUCUGCCGUGGGCGCUGGAGAACUGAGGGGGGCUGCUCCUAGUACGAGAGGACCGGAGUGGACGCAUCACUGGUGUUCGGGUUGUCAUGCCAAUGGCACUGCCCGGUAGCUAAAUGCGGAAGAGAUAAGUGCUGAAAGCAUCUAAGCACGAAACUUGCCCCGA